GCUGGGAUAGCUCAGUCGGUAGAGAAUGAGACUCUUAAUCUCAAGGUUGUGGGUUUGAGCCCCAUGUUGGGCA